UACAGAGGUGGCAAGCGUUGUUCGGAAUUACUGGGCGUAAAGGGCGCGUAGGCGGUUCGAUAAGUCCCGUGUGAAAGCCCCCGGCUCAACUGGGGAACUGCACGGGAAACUGACGGACUUGAGUUCGGGAGAGGGAAGCGGAAUUCCGGGUGUAGCGGUGAAAUGCGUAGAUAUCCGGAGGAACACCGGUGGCGAAGGCGGCUUCCUGGACCGACACUGACGCUGAGGCGCGAAAGCCAGGGGAGCGAACGGG
rnacentral:rRNA from 1 species